CCCGGACUUUACCCAGGAAAUAGGCCACAUCAGGAGUGCACAGGGGCGCAAGAAGAAACCAAUCCUGCCAUCAGGAACACUCUGCACUUGGGAAUUCUCUUUUUCAAAAAGCACCCCCUUCCAAGAGGUCUGGCUGCUGUCUUACCUUUGCACAUCACAAAUGGUUCCCUCCUAUUCUAAAGGGAAGGAAUGUGCUGAAGUGUCCCUGCGGCCUGCCACGUGAGAGAGUGACAGCGGUGUGAUGAUGACCCAAUUGGAUAGUGGAUGGAGGAUUCUCGACACCAGUUCAAUUACAGGAGGUAUCCCAAAUAACGUGUAUGUGGAGACAGACAGGGGAACCCCAAGGCUACGCUGACUGGGGAGGGCAGUAUGGCUUCACAGAUGGAAUUCAUGGUUUCUUCCUCUACUCCUGGCCCCCGUGGUGACCUUCUGCAAGUCUGAGGCAAGAAGUUUCUUCAUAACGAAGAAGAGAUACAGUGGGGCCUAACAUUUUUUGUGAACUGUCAUCUUUACACCUUUGGAAAUGCCUCUGUAAUCUGUUAGGCUAACAGAAACUUGCUGUACCAUUAUGUUAUGAUAGAUAAAAGCAAGCAUUUUGGGCUCAUUAGCUAGGAAAUGCUCAGUACCUGUAGACUAUCAUUAAUAUUCAACAUGUGCUGUUGAAUUAUGCAACUCAUUAUUUUAUUAUCUUUACAUUUUGACUUUAUAUUUAUUCAAAAAAAAAAAAAAAAGAAAGAAAGAAAGAAAAAGAAAGAAAAGAAGAAAGGAAAAAAUCUCCAGUUACCAUCAUCUCGUAUCUCUGAACUUGAACUACUGGAAUGAUUGCCUUUGCUGUGUAAGCAAGGUUAACCCCCACCUACAUGCAUGUUCCCUUGGAGAAUGGUAUUUACACUAUCACGUGAUAAGCAGCUAGUUCCAAUCUGUUUUGGAAACCAGUUAAAUAGAAAUAAUCUCAAAAAAUCAAUAUUCAGAAAAUGACCUUCCCUUUACUCCGGAGGAGUGGUUUGAGUAACCAAGAGAGCAGCCUUUUCAUUGCUCCUUGUCCCGCUGCACAAGUUUGCAUUCACACUGGAGAACCACAUUACUCCACAGAUGAUGAUACAGCAAAUAACAUAAGGAAGUGCUGGGCCAGAGAAGCGCAGAGAGCGAGAGGUUCCUGCGGAUGAACAAUGGUGCCUGCCACAUCAGUAAACAAAGGAUGUUGCAACCAUCAGACCAUCAGCCACUGCAACUGUCCUGUCCCCAGCGGUGAGCCCUGAAGCAACUCAGGGUGGAGAAAAACAGGCUGCUUGCCACCCCAACAGUGCACCCUGAGGGGAUUCAGGUUGGGAGAGGAGAGGAUGCUGGCCCUACACAGCUAAGGUGCAUAUCAAAGGGAUGAUUUCAAUGAGCCCAGACUCUUGCAUCUUCCUACACAUAGAAAAGCACUAAAUUCAUGAACUUGAGAAGGCUGGUUUUCUUUAAUUAACAAUAACCUUUUGAUGGUCUGACCACCCUGUUUUUGUUGCAAAACUCCUAUAUAUCCUGGCUCUUCCCACACCUCUCCAGAGCAGUCCCUCAGAGCUAUCUGAAAGUCUGUCUUCUGGGCUUAUGUCCUCAGAAAGUAUGCUGAAUAAAACAUCAUUCUCAAUU